GAUGAAGAACGUAGCGAAAUGCGAUAAGUAAUGCGAAUUGCAGAAUCCGUGAGUCAUCGAAUCUUUGAACGCACAUUGCGCCCUCUGGUAUUCCGGGGGGCAUGCCUGUUCGAGCGUCAUUAUAACCACUCAAGCUCUCGCUUGGUAUUGGGGUUCGCGGUUUCGCGGCCCCUAAAAUCAGUGGCGGUGCCUGUCGGCUCUACGCGUAGUAAUACUCCUCGCGAUUGAGUCCGGUAGGUCUACUUGCCAGCAACCCCUAAUUUUUUUUAAGGUUGACCUCGGAUCAGGUAGGGAUACCCGCUGAACUUAAGCAUAUCAAUAAGCGGAGGA
rnacentral:misc_RNA from 1 species